rnacentral:rRNA from 1 species
AAAGUUUAACCUGCCCAAUGAUUAGUAAAAAAAUUGAAUGGCCGCGGUAUUUUGACCGUGCAAAGGUAGCAUAAUCGUUAGUUUUUUAAUUGGAAUCUUGUAUGAAUGGUUGGACAAAAGAAAAUCUGUCUUUAUAUUAUAAAUUGAAUUUAACUUUUAAGUGAAAAGGCUUAAAUAAAUUAAAGUGACGAUAAGACCCUAUAAAGCUUUAUAUGAAUAUAUUAUUUAAUUGAAUUUUAAAUAAAAAUUUAGUAAUUAAAUUUAUUUUAUUGGGGAGAUAAAGGUAAAAUUUUUAUUAACUGCUUUAAAUUUAAUACAUUUAUAAAUGAUUAAAAUUUUAAAUGAUCCUAGAUAAAGAUUAAUAGUUUAAGUUACUUUAGGGAUAACAGCGUUAUUUUUUUUGAGAGUACUUAUCGAAAAAAAAGUUUGCGACCUCGAUGUUGAAUUAAAAUUUCUUUAUAAUUGCAGAAGUUAUAAAAGUAGGUCUGUUCGCCUA